GCAAGGUCUGUGCUUGGGAGAGGUAAUACUGUGGGGUUGGGUUUUUUAAGUGAUGUCAGCAUUUGAGAUCCCUUGGACCUGUGUUUUGGUUAAGCCCACAAGAAAAUAAGAGUUCAUUUGAGUUUACCCUGGAAACCUGGCUGCUGUCUCUGAGGCACAAAUGCUCCUGGAGACAGCCUGCUCUUGCAAUUCAUGUAUUCUGUGAAGCAGAAAGAAAAACAUAUUGGCCAGGGUUCAAGCACCUUUCUUGGUUGUCUUGGUGAUAAGUGCCUGAUAAAAGUUCAAGGUCUUUGCUUGCUUGUAUAGAAUAAAAGCAGCUUUGCUUAAGUUACUGCUGGCAUCCAUGGUCUUCCAGAGGGUGCUGAUCUGCUGUUUCCAGUGUCUGGGCUGUUCUUGGGCUCCAGGGAGCUGAAGCAGAUGUCAGAAGCUGAACUCCUUGAGUCACCUGCAGUGGUGAGGAUGGAGCUGCAUUCCCUCUGCUGCCUUCAGCCUCCUGCUCUCGAUCCCCAGCUCCAUCUGCCUGACACCAUGGGCAGCUUCCCAAAGCUGGAACCUCAACUGCCUUCAUUUCUGCACAGGCCAGUUAGUCAUUUCCCACUUAUAAACAAACAUUUUGGAGACACCAGAGAAACUCAGUCAGCAAGAGGACAAAGUUCUGUUGCUUUUAAAGUAGUUCAUUCACCAGUGAGUUUUACUGCCCAGCAGCUCAGCCACCACUGAACUGAAACAUACAGGUUCCUCAUUAAAACAGGAAAAUGUGCUUCUGGAGCAGACCAGACUUUCAAUCAUUGAGUUGACUUCAAUUUAAAGUGUUGUAGUUGAGGUGCCUUUAUUCUGAGAUUUGUUUUAAUCUGUCUUGAGACUUCUUCCUUAUAUGCAGAGAUAUUCCUGGGUUCCUCUGAGGACAUUUGCAUUGGCAGUGCAAUGGAGAUCUGAGGUGUGGUUGUUGCUGCAAACUAAAGUCAAACAAUUCUCCUCAAUCCUUGAAAAGAAGAGGAAGCUGCUCACCCAUGUUUAACUGCUACCUGGCUUCUGCACUUUUCUAACCUUCAUUUCCACUUGUGACCUGCCCAUAGGUGUGUGCUCACACUUUCCUCCUGCUGACCCAGGCAGGGCAUCGUGUACCUGCUGUGCAGUUCCACACUAACAUGGUUCCUGAAAAUCCAAUGUGACUGAGGGCAUGCACAGUUUGGAGGUGAAUUAUUGCCAAGUCUCCUGGAGCAUUACCCAGCAGUGCUGGAAAUGGCCCCAGGGAUCAACACUCUUGCAAAUGAUCAGCCAGCCCCUUCCUCACAGAGGUCCUUAUAGGAAAAUGUUUGUCUAAAGUGGAAGACUGUUUUUCAAAAAAAUCUCAGAGAGAGGGAUAAAUAAUCAAUAAGCAGUGGGAAGAGUUUAAAUCAAAUUUUAAAUAGCAUAGUGGACAUUUUAAUUGAGAGACUUAUUCUUGUCUCAUUAAAACAAAAAAUCCAAACGUAAUUAUUUGCCUAAAAGCUGUAUCACGAGGGGUUGAUGCUGCCAGCCUGCAGGGCUGAGCCAGAGCUCCAGAUCCCAGUGUUCCUGCUCUGUCCACAGGCUUUGGGCUGGCACAGGCACAGUGCUCCCUCCUGCUUGCCACCAGCCUGCUAAACACGCCUGCCUUGUGCUCAAGCUUAGCACAAGCUCGGUCAGGCACCUGAUAAAUCUAAACCAGACUGGAGUGCCUUUGGUUGCUCCGGAUGGAGCUGCUGUCAAUUUGUUUUUCUCGGCUCAGCAGUUUCCCCUGAGAUCUCCAUCAUCAAAUCGAUGCUGGGUGUUGCCCUGUCCUGCCUCAGCUCCUUGUCCUGGGAGCUGUGUGUCCCCAGGCUGGCCCUCCUGGCCUGGGACACACCUGGCUGCUGUGAGAGGGGUGUGCCACUGUUACAUAAGCCUUUGGGGUUUCCUCUGGUUUGCUGCACUUCAUAAGGAGCCACAAUUUUAUAUUUUCUGCUGGACUUCCCCCUUUGCAGUGACAGCCUGACUCUGUGUCUGUGAGGGGGUUCAAGUUUUCCCUUUGGGUAUUUCCAGUGACAUUGGUCAGGCACAAAAAUCCUGUGAUCUGAAGGAAUAAUUUUGGCUAUCUUACACCAAAUGUCAGAUUCUUUCUGUCUUUUUACAAAUUAUUUUAUUUUUUAGGACUCUUUUUCCUAAACUGCUUAAAGCUAGGGGAAAAAACUCCCAGAAACUGUAACAAAAUCGGGACCACGAUGCAAAUCACCAGGGCUCUUCCCACGGGCAUUUUGGCCAAAGUUGACUCGCGGUGCCUGUUCCAACUUGCGGCAGCCGCGAGUGCAUCCGCAGCCAAAGGUUCCCCCCUGCAGCACAGUGACAGCUACUGCAGGUGCCCCAUCAGCUGGAGCUCAUUUAUCCACGAGGACUUUUCAUGUUUUAAAAAAACUGAAGGGAAAAAAAAGGCAUCUUGUGCUGCUAAAAUCCAGAGAAAAUUCUACUGACUUCAGCAAAAGCAGAUGGGAUUGUUAAUGCCAUGAUGGAAUUGGUAAUUAUUGGCACUACUUUUCCUUUGUGGGACCCAAUCUGGGGAGUUUCCCAGGGAGAUAUGUUGGGCCACGGGUCAUGCUAUAAUGACUAUAUCCUCGGGUCAUAAUUUUGCUCCUCACCCGUGAUAAGGCAUGAAGAAAAAAAAUGGGCUAAAACUUUAUGUGGUUCAAGGGACAACUGAAAAAAUUAAUAGGGAAAUGUGCUGAGGGACACUGAGGCAACACCACAGCCCAAUGACAGGGCUAAGAAUCAAACUGUUGGAGGUGAUGGGGUUUUCUGGAGGAAAAUUUUGGUUGA